AUGAACGCUAGCUACAGGCUUAACACAUGCAAGUCGAGGGGCAGCAUGAACUUAGCUUGCUAAGUUUGAUGGCGACCGGCGCACGGGUGAGUAACACGUAUCCAACCUGCCGAUGACUCGGGGAUAGCCUUUCGAAAGAAAGAUUAAUACCCGAUGGCAUAGUUCUUCCGCAUGGUAGAACUAUUAAAGAAUUUCGGUCAUCGAUGGGGAUGCGUUCCAUUAGGUUGUUGGCGGGGUAACGGCCCACCAAGCCUUCGAUGGAUAGGGGUUCUGAGAGGAAGGUCCCCCACAUUGGAACUGAGACACGGUCCAAACUCCUACGGGAGGCAGCAGUGAGGAAUAUUGGUCAAUGGACGAGAGUCUGAACCAGCCAAGUAGCGUGAAGGAUGACUGCCCUAUGGGUUGUAAACUUCUUUUAUACGGGAAUAAAGUGAGGCACGUGUGCCUUUUUGUAUGUACCGUAUGAAUAAGGAUCGGCUAACUCCGUGCCAGCAGCCGCGGUAAUACGGAGGAUCCGAGCGUUAUCCGGAUUUAUUGGGUUUAAAGGGAGCGUAGGCGGACGCUUAAGUCAGUUGUGAAAGUUUGCGGCUCAACCGUAAAAUUGCAGUUGAUACUGGGUGUCUUGAGUACAGUAGAGGCAGGCGGAAUUCGUGGUGUAGCGGUGAAAUGCUUAGAUAUCACGAAGAACUCCGAUUGCGAAGGCAGCCUGCUGGACUGUAACUGACGCUGAUGCUCGAAAGUGUGGGUAUCAAACAGGAUUAGAUACCCUGGUAGUCCACACAGUAAACGAUGAAUACUCGCUGUUUGCGAUAUACAGUAAGCGGCCAAGCGAAAGCGUUAAGUAUUCCACCUGGGGAGUACGCCGGCAACGGUGAAACUCAAAGGAAUUGACGGGGGCCCGCACAAGCGGAGGAACAUGUGGUUUAAUUCGAUGAUACGCGAGGAACCUUACCCGGGCUUGAAUUGCAACUGAAUGAUGUGGAGACAUGUCAGCCGCAAGGCAGUUGUGAAGGUGCUGCAUGGUUGUCGUCAGCUCGUGCCGUGAGGUGUCGGCUUAAGUGCCAUAACGAGCGCAACCCUUAUCGAUAGUUACCAUCAGGUUAUGCUGGGGACUCUGUCGAGACUGCCGUCGUAAGAUGUGAGGAAGGUGGGGAUGACGUCAAAUCAGCACGGCCCUUACGUCCGGGGCUACACACGUGUUACAAUGGGGGGUACAGAGGGCCGCUACCACGCGAGUGGAUGCCAAUCCCCAAAACCUCUCUCAGUUCGGACUGGAGUCUGCAACCCGACUCCACGAAGCUGGAUUCGCUAGUAAUCGCGCAUCAGCCACGGCGCGGUGAAUACGUUCCCGGGCCUUGUACACACCGCCCGUCAAGCCAUGAAAGCCGGGGGUACCUGAAGUGCGUAACCGCAAGGAGCGCCCUAGGGUAAAACUGGUGAUUGGGGCU
rnacentral:rRNA from 1 species